UGGGAAGGCGUGGAGAGAGUGCGCUGGUGUGCGGCGGGGAAGGUCCUGCUAGGCAGCAAGGAGAACACGCCCAUCCUGGUGGUCUUUUAAGAGGGACGUCUGCUGGUGCCCACUAAGCUGAGAUCUUCUGCGGGUGUUAGAACUUCCCUGCUAGGUGGUGGACAGCACUGGGGACGUCAGCUGCCACAGUGGCAGCACUCCUCUGUUUCUUCAGCGCGAGUGGGGGAACCUUGGAGAUGCUUCCCCCGUGCUGGCACCCCAUGACUGACUGCACAGAGCAACUGAGGACCGUUUGGGACCUGCGCCCACGGACAAGCUCUGAGUCAGGGUUGCCGCCCGAGCAGCCCCAGGUCUAAUGAGAGCAGGGAUGGCUCUUAACGAGGCAGCUGGAGCUAAUGGUAUCAGCACUUCCCCAUCAGUAAUCGCAAGUAAUCCUCUUCCUACGCUUAGUUCCCCAGAUUACAAUGAAAAUGUUGAGAAAGCUGUGACUCUGGAAUGAGAAAUACUCUAUUUGAUGAGGAGUCCUCACCACUGGAAGCUACUUCUAUGAGAUCUAUCACUUUUCAAGUUCCUCACAUUAAAGCAUGUUUUAUUGAUGUUGCUUAA